rnacentral:rRNA from 1 species
UACGUAGGGGGCAAGCGUUGUCCGGAUUUAUUGGGCGUAAAGAGCGUGUAGGCGGCUAGAUAGGUCCGUUGUGAAAACUCGAGGCUCAACCUCGAGACGCCGAUGGAAACCAUCCAGCUAGAGUCCGGAAGAGGAGAGUGGAAUUCCCGGUGUAGCGGUGAAAUGCGCAGAUAUCGGGAAGAACACCCGUGGCUAAGGCGGCUCUCUGGGCCGAUACUGACGCUGAGGAGCGAAAGCGUGGGGAGCGAACAGG